rnacentral:rRNA from 1 species
GAUGAACGCUGGCGGCGUGCUUAACACAUGCAAGUCGAACGGAAAGGCUCCUUCUUGCAGGGGUACUCGAGUGGCGAACGGGUGAGUAACACGUGGGUGCUCUGCCCUGCACUUCGGGAUAAGCCUGGGCAACUGGGUCUAAUACCGGAUAGGACGAUGGUUUGUAUGCCAUUGUGGAGAGUGUUUCGGUGGGGGCUGAGCUUGCGGCCUAGCAGCUUGUUGGUGGGGGAAUGGCCUACGAAUGCGUCGACGGGUAGCCGGCCUGAGAGUGUGUACGGCCACAGCCGGACUGGGACUCGGACCAGGCCCCUACGGGAGCCGGCGGUGGCGGAUGGUGAUAUUGGGGCGCGAGCGUGAGGCAGCGACGCCGAGUGCGGGAGGAUGAUCAUCGGGUUGGAGUCGCCAUGCGCUAGGGACCAAGCGUUUUGUGACGGUACCUGGAGAAUAAGCUCCGGCUAACUCCGUG